AUUGAACGCUGGCGGCAGGCUUAACACAUGCAAGUCGAGCGGGGUGAUGGUGCUUGCACUAUCACUUAGCGGCGGACGGGUGAGUAAUGCUUAGGAAUCUGCCUAUUAGUGGGGGACAACAUCUCGAAAGGGAUGCUAAUACCGCAUACGUCCUACGGGAGAAAGCAGGGGAUCACUUGUGACCUUGCGCUAAUAGAUGAGCCUAAGUCGGAUUAGCUAGUUGGUGGGGUAAAGGCCUACCAAGGCGACGAUCUGUAGCGGGUCUGAGAGGAUGAUCCGCCACACUGGGACUGAGACACGGCCCAGACUCCUACGGGAGGCAGCAUUGGGGAAUAUUGGACAAUGGGGGGAACCCUGAUCUAGCCAUGCCGCGUGUGUGAAGAAGGCCUUAUGGUUGUAAAGCACUUUAAGCGGGGAGGAGGCUCUUUUGGUUAAUACCCAAGAUGAGUGGACGUUACUCGCAGAACAAGCACCGGCUAACUCUGUGCCAGCCGCCGCGGUAA
rnacentral:rRNA from 1 species